rnacentral:lncRNA from 1 species
GAGGACCACUGUACUCUAGUGGGAGUCAGAAUGGGGAAAGGUUUCGUGCCUGCACUGGUUGUCUGGUAAUGGCUUGGUGACCUUGAAAAUUUACCUAAGCUCUGCAAGCUUUGAGGUCUUUGCAUGAGUCACUGUGAGCUAUGGCUCUCCAGAGGUAUGUUUCCUACUUUCCUGUAACUCUGCAGAGGCAUGUGGAAGCGCUCAGCAUAUGUCUCUAGCUCCUUUCUAGGUGGAUGUAUGUAUGCCUGGCAUAAAUGCAGGGCCAAGGCUCCACAAGUCCUCUACAGCUCUGUCCAGAGCUGUCCACUACACAUUGUAUCUUCUGCUAUUGAUCAUGUGCACAUAUAUUUAUUCCGUCUCAAGAGUCCUGCAUCCUUCUCGGGACUCUGUGGAUUCAGGGAUCAGGCCCCUUCUACCCAGUCCUGCAUCCUUCUCGGGAGUCUGUAGAUCCAAGGACAGGUCCCUUCUACCAAGUGCCUCCAGGCCUCUGGGAAGCAAGGCAUACACUCUCCUCUGAGAGCUGAUUUCCCAGUCCUUUCUCCUCUCCUCUCUCACUCACUUGCCACAGGCACCAUCUGUUUCCUGCCUUUAUCUUCCAUGAGUCUUGCGAAUUCUCUCCGUGCCUGCUCUUUUACUCCUGGCUGUCAUGUUGUCCAGCUUUGCUAUUUCUCCAAGGGCGUCUAUCCUUGAAACUCGGAAAAACAACGGAUUCUUUUUUUAUCUCUCUUAUCCACAGGGCCUCACCUUUCCCCUGAGACUGUGAAUACAACUUGGCUUCAUUGGAUGUGAGUGAGAGAAAACAGACAUGCAGGGAAAAUCGCAGGCUAGUAUUUGAGCAGUACCACCCACCCCAUUAUCGCUCUCCUUGGCUUCAUCCUCCCAGUGGUUCUGCUAAGGCCCGGUUCUUAUUCAUCUUAGUUCUUAAUCCUUUGGCAUGGACGCGUCUGUGGAUGUUCUGACCCUCUGUGUGACUAAAGCCCUCUGGUCAGUUCUUCCGGUCGGUUUUGCCUUUUGGAUGAGGUGAUAAACUCAUUAGUAAUUUCCUGCGGUUUGUCUGUGCUCUGAGGCAGUGAAUGCUUCAGACAGUGAGUGACUCGCUCACAGAGGUGCUGCCCUCUACACUCCCCUCUUGUCUUUCAUUUCUUUCAUUUGUCCUCAUUAAUAAAGGGCUACUCUCAAAUCUC